rnacentral:rRNA from 1 species
UACAGGGGGUGCAAACGUUGCUCGGAAUCAUUGGGCGUAAAGCGCGCGUAGGCGGCCCGGUAAGUCCGCUGUAAAAGUCAAAGGCUCAACCUUUGAAUGUCAGUGGAUACUGCCGGGCUAGAGUCCGGAAGAGGCGAGUGGAACUCCUGGUGUAGCGGUGGAAUGCGCAGAUAUCAGGAAGAACACCAACGGCGAAGGCAGCUCGCUGGGACGGAACUGACGCUAAGGCGCGAAAGCGUGGGGAGCGAACAGG